rnacentral:rRNA from 1 species
AUUGAACGCUGGCGGCAUGCCUUACACAUGCAAGUCGAACGGUAACGCGGGGCAACCUGGCGACGAGUGGCGAACGGGUGAGUAAUGUAUCGGAACGUGCCCAGUUGUGGGGGAUAACUGCUCGAAAGAGCAGCUAAUACCGCAUACGACCUGAGGGUGAAAGCGGGGGAUCGCAAGGCCUCGCGCAAUUGGAGCGGCCGAUAUCAGAUUAGGUAGUUGGUGAGGUAAAGGCUCACCAAGCCGACGAUCUGUAGCUGGUCUGAGAGGACGACCAGCCACACUGGGACUGAGACACGGCCCAGACUCCUACGGGAGGCAGCAGUGGGGAAUUUUGGACAAUGGACGCAAGUCUGAUCCAGCCAUGCCGCGUGCGGGAAGAAGGCCUUCGGGUUGUAAACCGCUUUUGUCAGGGAAGAAACGCUCUGGGUUAAUACCCCGGGGUAAUGACGGUACCUGAAGAAUAAGCACCGGCUAACUACGUGCCAGCCGCCGCCGUAAUAC